rnacentral:rRNA from 1 species
AGUGAACGCUGGCGGUAGGCCUAACACAUGCAAGUCGAACGGCAGCACAGUAAGAGCUUGCUCUUACGGGUGGCGAGUGGCGGACGGGUGAGGAAUACAUCGGAAUCUACUUUUUCGUGGGGGAUAACGUAGGGAAACUUACGCUAAUACCGCAUACGACCUACGGGUGAAAGCAGGGGAUCUUCGGACCUUGCGCGAUUGAAUGAGCCGAUGUCGGAUUAGCUAGUUGGCGGGGUAAAGGCCCACCAAGGCGACGAUCCGUAGCUGGUCUGAGAGGAUGAUCAGCCACACUGGAACUGAGACACGGUCCAGACUCCUACGGGAGGCAGCAGUGGGGAAUAUUGGACAAAGGGCGCAAGCCUGAUCCAGCCAUACCGCGUGGGUGAAGAAGGCCUUCGGGUUUUAAAGCCCUUUUGUUGGGAAAGAAAAGCAGCAGGUUAAUACCCCGCUGUUCUGACGGUACCCAAAGAAUAAGCACCGGCUAACUUCGUG